AGCUGAGUUUGAUCCUGGCUCAGGAUGAACGCUAGCGGCAGGCCUAAUACAUGCAAGUCGAACGAUAGAAGAGGGCUUGCUCUCUUCGAAAGUGGCGCACGGGUGCGUAACGCGUAUGCAACCUACCUUAAUCAGGGGGAUAGCCCGAAGAAAUUCGGAUUAACACCGCAUAAAAUCACAGUACAGCAUUGUACAAUGAUCAAAUAUUUAUAGGAUUAAGAUGGGCAUGCGUGACAUUAGCUAGUUGGCGGGGGUAACGGCCCACCAAGGCGACGAUGUCUAGGGGAUCUGAGAGGAUGACCCCCGACACUGGUACUGAGACACGGGACCAGACUCCUACGGGGAGGCAGCAGUAA
rnacentral:rRNA from 1 species